UUUUUUAUGCUACUUCUUUUUGCAUAAAUAUUAUAGAAAAAAUUAUGAAAGGACUCUGAAAGUAGAGACUUCAUGUUUUAAAAUGUUGUACGAUUUUUUUUUUCAGUUAUAAUAAUUUAAAUAUUAAUAAUUUUUUUUAGUAAAGAUUCAAAUAUUCGCUAAUUUAUGGAUAUAUAUGUAUUUAACAAAAACAGUUAAGCCAAAAGACACAUAUGUCUUUGAAAUAUGAUAAUCGAUAAAAAGAUAUGUUUUCUUUGUUAUAUAUAGGAUAUUAUAGGAUGGACCACUUAACGUGAUCACUUCGAUUAUUUUCAUUAUUUACGAGUGAAAACCACCUCUAAUAACCAUUGAUUCUUCUAAAUUAUUUGAAAGAUAAUGAUGAAAAAAAACUAAGAUCCGCAACAGUUUUCCAAAAUCAGCUAAAAUUCAGCAUGGAUACAGUUCGUUUCAGAACAUAGUUAGAAGUGAAAUGCUUCCAAUUUCAAAUAUUAAUUUCAAACUUUUGAUCUAAAAUCGAUUCGAUUUUAAUUUUCUUUUUUUUUUUAUCCAAAAUGACAAAUAAUUAAAUAUUACAAACUUUUGAGAUUCCAACCCUAAGAAAAUUCCUCUAUUGAUUCUAUGUUAAAUUUCGGAUACACUUUAUCUACACAGAAAGAAAAAAAUGAAAUUAACAAUAGACUGCAUUUAUUUAUUCUUAAUAGGAUUGCUUGUAAUGUAAGAAGAAUAACAAUAAUUCAUUUCAAAAGUAAAAACAAAUGGUUCAUUUAAUUUCUUUUAUUUUUCGAAUGAAAUAAACAAUGACUUCGAAUCUCGAUAGAUUUUUUCGAAGUUAGAAGGAAAUUUUAUAGAAUUUAGUGAUAACAUUAAUGAUAUAAAAAUAAGGAUUUUUUAAAUUAUUAAUCACUUCAAUUAAUUAAUGGUAUUUUUACGUAAUUCUAUAAAAAAAAGACAACAACAAUUUUAAUUGCAACAACAAACGAAUCAAAAAAGAAGCAAACAUAUAAUUUUGUAUAUACUAUUUUGUAAUAUACUAUUGUAUAGUAUUACAUAAUAUUACAAUAAUUCAUUGCGAAAGAAAGAAUAUUUUGUUAUCAUAUUUUGUUGUUGAUAAAAGUUGAAGAGAUACACCUAUAGAUAUAUCUGAUAUUUACCUUUAAGAAGACAAAUGAUCUAACGAAGAAUUGAAGAAAUCUAGAUUAUCGAUAAUGAAAUCUGUGAUUACGUUAUUUAACAUCGACCAUAUUCAAUGUUAUAAUAUAUUUUAUUUAACUAUUUACAUUCAAUGUUAAUAAAAUUAUAGAUAUAUUACAAAUAAUGAACAAUA